GUGCAGUAGGGAGUCGUUGCAUUUCGAAGUUCACGUCGGAUCGCGCGUCCGUAAGAAUUCGAUAGGUUAUACGUGAACUUUUGUUUACAAUACUGUUUUCAGUGGAUUAUCAGUUGGUUAGAUCUAAAUCUAGACUUGUAUCAGAUUCGAGGGUGUACGAUGAAUAUUAAGACGAGUUAGGUAUUUACUGCUCGUCCCAUUACGUAAGUUCUGUAGCGUCCUUAUAAUCUACGACCUGGCCUGGGGAACCAUGGCCUACUUGGGAAUCCGCGGCAAAUUCCUCGUCUGGGUCGCUUGUCGUAAUUAUUUUGUUAGCGCGGGUAAUCAUUGCUUUUGGCCAUUUCACCAGGUCUACAUAGAAUAUUUAUAUGUACAUAAGAUACGCAAGUGUUAAAGUUUUUAAAGGUUAAAAGUCCGCGAGGAUCUUGAUAAAUUUAACGACACUCUUACGAUGGCAAUAAAGACGACACUUUCGAUGACAAUGCUCAUGACUCGUGUGUCUUAUUGCCAGACUCGAUUUAAAUAUACGAUUUAAACUUCGACGUCGAUAAACAGUUCUCGACGUCUUGUUCGUGUGGAAUCUGACUCAACGCUCUCGACGGACAUAACCUCAAACGUCAACUUCGUCAUCUUGACAGACAGCAUCCACUUACAUCGCCAGUUCUUGUCAGUUUUAAUCCUCAAGUCUGGCCUCUGUGUGAAGCAAAAAUAGGCAAAAGUGCCAACCAUGAACGGUAAAUGAGAAUCUAAGAACAUUAAGCAUCGUUAAUGGGAGGAAGUCUACUCUUCUGCAAAAAAACUCAGGAUACAAUUAUUUAACACGCACUACAGCUUUACUAUAAAUAUCUCUGAGAUCAUAUCUUCAUAUAUUACAACUGCAUUUUGGUUCUGUCCCUAUCAGUAUACAAGCUACAUGCUGCCUGACUAAAAUUUACAAUUGCCAUUUGCAAUUGGAGCAUAAAGCCAAGUUUCACGUUAGCUCGGCCUGUCGAUACUAUCGAAGCACGACAGCGACGUCAGGAAAAGUACUUGGCCAAUGUGAAACUUUUCUGUCGUAGGCAUGUCGGAGCUUUACGAUAUUGAGGAGCGUAAUGAAUCAAUUGGUAAGAUGAGAAAUGGACCCACAGUCAAUCAUUCUUAAGACUCUCGCGAGGCAAGAGUUACGAGAAUGCAUUCACUUUCGCAGGAAAGUUCUUGAAUUGCAUAUAUAAUACAUUCAUUAUGGAGAACGUGUUACAAACCAGAAGCGCCGGGAAGCCAUACCGAUUAUCAUCAGGCAAACCAAGGAUUAUUGAAACGGAUAAUACUGAGAAGGUUUCUAACUUUUAAAAACGGAAAGCUCAAAAGAUCCCAGCCUGAUUUUAAUUUUCCAGUCAGAUGCUGCAAAAUCGAUGAUAAUCGUUAAUUGGCAAUUAAUAGAAUUUUUAUAACCACUGGACGAUCCUGAUAACAGAGUUGGUAGUAACGUCUUUGGUUAUUUGACGUAUAACCAUAAAAGAUUACUGUGUAAAACGGUUUAAGCUAUUUAAAUAUAUAGUCGUGCAUAUUCUUAUGUAGAGUUUGUUAUCAAACAUAGCCGUGACACGUUAAACGCGUGGCGAAAGACCGAUACGUGGUUGCUGGAUGCUCGGCACCAAGUAUAAGGAGAACGGUCGAGUUACAUACAAUGAUUUACCGCCCCUGCACAAUUGGAUGUCUUAGAAAAAAGGAUGAAGACUAAAUAACGUAUAAUAAUGGAGGCUCUUAAAUUGGAUCAUUAUAGAGACGAACGUUUGAGAAUUGUUUAUUAUUGAAAUUAAUCAAAAAGGAUUUCUGUUUUCAUUUAUCAGAGGCAGUUAUGUGCAAUGAUCUCACGAAUUGAGCCUGGUGACAUUCUUGUAGGUCACGUGAUUUUAAAUACUUUUGUGCAUGUAUAACAGGAUUUGAAUUACAUUCUGAAGGAAUGUGGUCAAAAAUAUCGACUUGUGGCUCGAAAUUCCAGUCUAACAUGAAGUAACGUCAAUGGUAGAUAAAUCGGUCACUGCGUACGGAUAUAUUAUUGUGAUAUGUGCUAUGUGGAAAGGUGCGGUUGCGUAUACUAUUAAUUGUACAAUUAUGCGUGGGUGUUUUCAGAUGGAAUAAAAGAAACGUGUUGAAUUUAUGUGGUGGAUUAGCUAGGGAGAAUGUCAAUCGUUGUUCCUGCUAAGUGCGUCCAUGACCGAUGGUAAUUGUAAAGCGAUGGUAUCGUGUAUGUGAUUUAUCGAAAUUGCAUAUCGUCGAAUCUUUUAUAAUAAUCGAUAGUUUAUAAUGUUAAGUAAUGGUGAUUUGAUAUUCAGUACAUUAAUUGUACACUUGGCAUUCAUUAAGUAGACUAACUUGUGUUAAAACAUGCCGCAUCUUGUCCGUUAGUUUUAUAAAUAUGUAAAUUGUUAGAAAUUGUACAGUAUACUAGUGCCACCUAGGAUGCAAAUGAUUGAGUGUAUAGAAUGCGGUGAUAUUACCGACAGUUGAUAAGUUACGUUAGUCGAGCGAUACGAUACGAUUAUAUAAUAUACGAGGGAGGCGAUGAUCACAAAAUUCUACUUCCGGACUUGGCGCUGCGAUUCAGCGCCAUGUUUUUGGUAUCGCCUAAAACCGUAGGGUUGUGCAUAACCUUACUCAAUUCCGUUCUGUAGGUAUAGCAGUGAUUUUCUUGCAAUGAUCUAUGGUCGAUAUAACAUGAAACAAUUUGAAUGUGACAGAAACCAAAAAAGCGAAUAAUAAUUAUUGAAAGUCAGAUAAAAUUUCAUUAGUUUAGUAAUUAUUAAAGAAUUUUUAUUCGUGAAAAUUUCGACAUAUUUCCAUGUAAGCAAUUCCUUUAACUUUUUAGUUAUUAUAAAAGUUAGGAAAGC